CCUACGGGAGGCAGCAGUGAGGAAUAUUGGUCAAUGGGCGAGAGCCUGAACCAGCCAAGUCGCGUGAGGGAGUACUGCCCUAUGGGUUGUAAACCUCUUUUGUCGGGGAGCAAAAGCCGGACGUGUCCGGCUGUGAGAGUACCCGAAUAAAAAGUAUCGGCUAACUCCGUGCCAGCAGCCGCGGUAAUACGGAGGAUGCGAGCGUUAUCCGGAUUUAUUGGGUUUAAAGGGUGCGCAGGCGGAUUUUUAAGUCAGCGGUAAAAUCGUGGGGCUCAACCCCAUCCAGCCGUUGAAACUGGGGAUCUAGAGUGUGCGAGAGGUAUGCGGAAUGCGUGGUGUAGCGGUGAAAUGCAUAGAUAUCACGCAGAACCCCGAUUGCGAAGGCAGCAUACCGGUGCACAACUGACGCUCAGGCACGAAAGCGUGGGUAUCGAACAGGAUUAGAUACCCCAGUAGUC
rnacentral:rRNA from 1 species